rnacentral:tRNA from 1 species
GUGGCUAUGGUGUAGCGGUAACACAACAGGCUGUGGCCCUGUUAUCUCGGGUUCGACCCCCGAUAGCCACC